rnacentral:tRNA from 1 species
GCGGGUGUGGCGGAAUGGUAGACGCCGGGGACUUAAAAUCCCCUGAUCUUUGAUCGUGCUGGUUCGAGUCCAGUCACCCGUA